UACAUACUGUGGUGACACCACGUGUAUGC
rnacentral:piRNA from 1 species